AGAGUUUGAUCAUGGCUCAGAUUGAACGCUGGCGGAAUGCUUUACACAUGCAAGUCGAACGGCAGCACGGACUUCGGUCUGGUGGCGAGUGGCGAACGGGUGAGUAAUAUAUCGGAACGUGCCCAGUCGUGGGGGAUAACGUAGUGAAAAUUACGCUAAUACCGCAUACGAUCUAUGGAUGAAAGCGGGGGAUCGCAAGACCUCGCGCGAUUGGAGCGGCCGAUAUCAGAUUAGGUAGUUGGUGAGGUAAAGGCUCACCAAGCCGACGAUCUAUAGCUGGUCUGAGAGGAUGAUCAGCCACACUGGGACUGAGACACGGCCCAGACUCCUACGGGAGGCAGCAGUGGGGAAUUUUGGACAAUGGGCGCAAGCCUGAUCCAGCCAUUCCGCGUGCAGGACGAAGGCCUUCGGGUUGUAAACUGCUUUUGUACAGAACGAAAAGCUCUGAGUUAAUACCUCGGGGUCAUGACGGUACUGUAAGAAUAAGCACCGGCUAACUACGUGACGGCAGCCGCGGUAAU
rnacentral:rRNA from 1 species